rfam:Nicotiana attenuata strain TT chromosome 5, whole genome shotgun sequence.
GUUGUCCUAUCGGCCAUAAUGAGAUGCCAACUGAUGAAUUAGACUCCUCCUUAACUUAGCUACCUUCAUUUGUUAGAUCGUCUUCAAAUAGUUGUAGGGAGGGGCUCACGUCUGAUUAGCUAAUAGCCUAUGUACCGAGGUGGUGAUCAGAAGCUGGUCUGAGAGGAUGAUCAGCCACACCGGAACUGAGACACAGUCUAGACUCCUACGGGAGGCA